ACACACACACACACACACUGUCCUUAUUCUAAAAUUUAGUACCAGGGUUUUAAGUUCCUGAGAGGGCUUGCAGAGAACUCCAUCUCCUUGUUUGAACACCCUGGACUGUUACACUUGAGUGAAAUGCGUUUUCACUUAGAAACAACUUUGAACAGGACAUGUGUUCCUCCCACUGCAAGUAUUGGAAAAUUCUUAGAGGUAGGGCUGUGGGGGUGGGACAUGUUGGUGCUGUCAGAGGUUGCCCAGGAUAUAUUUCAGCACUGGGACCCUUCUCCUUUUUUCUAAUAUUUAAGGAGUCUUUUGUAGGUUUCAACAACCACCACACUUGAAUUUGUACCACGGGAGCGGCUUAGACGUGACUGUCCCAGAUCAAGGCCCACUGUGGAGGUUUUGUUUUCCCCUUUUUUUUUUUUUUUUUGUAUAAUAAAGUGAAAAACCAAGGUUUG
rnacentral:lncRNA from 1 species